CGGGCUCGCUCCAGGCGGAAGUCCCGGGAGAGCCUCUGGGGACUCCAGGGCCGCGGGAAUGCGGGGGUUGCAGGGUCGGGAUUUGCAUUUCCCGCGCUGGGCUGCGGGGCGGCCGAGGCCUGCAGGAGACCCCGGACCCAGGGCUCGGAGUCCAGGAGGUCACUGAAGACGGGGUUUCCAUUGUUUACGUCUUUUGAGAAGCGCUGGUCCUGGUGAGCCAUCUUCUGUCCAUGCAGGCGACUUGCGGGGCACAAAAUGCUCCUCGGGCUCACAGCCAGUGUGGAGAACCGCCGGCUGCCGACCAGGCCUGGGCUCUGUAGCUCUGGGGCCACAGGGGGCCUGGGUGAGCAGCCCAGCUGCGUGGGAGAUGUUCCCGAAGACCCUGCUCACAGGGACUCCUAGACCCGGACGUGGCAGGUGGCAGCUGCCCGUGAGAUUGCAUUUCAGGGAGACCAGACGCGUCAUCAACACGUGUAAGAUGGCGGACGCGGUGGCCCACGCCUGUAAUCCCAGCACUUUCGGAGGCCGAGGCGGGCGGAUCACCUGAGGUCAGGAGUUCCAGACCAGCUUGGCCAAUAUGGAGAAACCCAG